rnacentral:SRP_RNA from 1 species
UUGCGCAGCCGGGGAAGUAGCGGCUCCUUGUACCUGAAAUCCGCUAUAGCAGGGGUGAUAUCCGGCAGAGGGUGAUCUUGGGAGGCAGCAGCCCGGCGGGGUGUGUGUUGAGACCCGGGUCUUACGCAACAAGGCGCUGUGAACCGUGUCAGGCCAGGAAUGGAGCAGCACUAAGCGGAUGCCCUUGUGUGCCGUAAGGGUGCCUGUGUUGAGCACAUCGUGCCGAAAGCGUACCUAACGGAUCAUUCGAAGCCGGAUUGCGCUA